UGCCUGGUGGUCUAGUGGCUAAGACUCUGCACUUUAAAUGCAGAGGGCCUGGGUUCAAUCCCUGGUUGGGGAA
rfam:Ovis aries breed Texel chromosome 12, whole genome shotgun sequence.